CCUUUCUUCUUCUCCAUUCUUCUUCCUUAAACCCUAGCCACCGCGCCGCUCAUCUUCCUUCACUGUUCUUCUUCGCCAUGUCUUUUUUGAGUUUGUCGCUGUCGCCGACAACGUUUCCAUCCCCGUUAGUCUCUAUUUCCAUUUAACAAGUCCACCCAAGCCAUCCUCUUCUCUCUAUCGGUGACGUUCCUCCUCCAUUUUAAGCGACGUAACUUUUCAUCUACCAUGUCGUGUUUCUGUUUCUCUUUUCUCCAUUUCGGCAAGCCACGUAGCGUCGUGGCCUCCUAAAGCCAUCAUUCUUCAAAUCUCUUCCGUUUAGCCAAGUCGUCAACCGUCGUGAAGCUUAUUUGUUGUCUGAGCCACAUUCGGGAGUCAUAAGCCAUCUCCUUUAGUUGUGAGCCAGAUUCUCUAUCCAUACAACCUGACCCUAAGCUGCUUACCCCUACCCUCUUCUGAGCCGUCUUUUCUCUAUCCUAGCUGAGUUGAGCUGCUCUGCUUCCUCUUUUGUUAGUCAAGCCAUCAUUUGAGCCACUUUACUAUUUUUGGUUGUUGACAAAUUUUUGAAGCAAACAGUGGAAUUUUCUCACCAAGAAAUUUAGCUACUCUCAAGGUAAAGGUAAUCCGAGAGGUAGACCAGCGGGGGGCAAGAAGGACUCGUGAUUGCCAUAUGGGAACACUCUUUCAAAUACUUUCGCUUAACAUUUUUACUAUUUUUAAGUUUUAAUGAUUGAAAUGAGUUUCAUGUUUAGAACAACAAUUUUUUUCUUGAGAUUACAAUACUUUUGAACUUUUAUUUUUAUUUGAAAUAAGGCUCGAAUAAACUUU